rnacentral:tRNA from 1 species
UCCCUGGUGGCUCAGAGGAGCAUCUGCCUGGAAUGCGGGAAACCCAGGUUCAAUCCUGGGCUGGGAA